AACGAACGCUGGCGGCAUGCCUAACACAUGCAAGUCGAACGAGACCUUCGGGUCUAGUGGCGCACGGGUGCGUAACGCGUGGGAACCUGCCCUUAGGUUCGGAAUAACUCCCCGAAAGGGGUGCUAAUACCGGAUAAUGUCUUCGGACCAAAGAUUUAUCGCCUUUGGAUGGGCCCGCGUUGGAUUAGCUAGUUGGUAGGGUAAAAGCCUACCAAGGCGACGAUCCAUAGCUGGUCUGAGAGGAUGAUCAGCCACACUGGGACUGAGACACGGCCCAGACUCCUACGGGAGGCACCAGUGCGGAAUAUUGGACAAUGGGCGAAAGCCUGAUCCAGCAAUGCCGCGUAAGUGAUGAAAGCCUUAAGGUUGUAAAGCUCUUUUACCCGGGAUGAUAAUGACAGUACCGGGAGAAUAAGCUCCGGCUAACUCCGUG
rnacentral:rRNA from 1 species